AGUACGUCACUAUCCAAGAGUAUUAAUCACUUUACCCUCCUCCUGCCUUAAUGUGUUUUACAACCAAAACGGCAUCUUCAUUCCCGCCGUUGGGCUGAAUCCCGAUUGCCCCCAUUGUCCAAUAUUCCCCACUGCUGCCUCCCGUAGGGCA
rnacentral:rRNA from 1 species